CUCUGUUUCUCAAUUGUUUUGUUGAAAAUAAUUUGAGAGGUUCUUAAAUACUUUCGAAAAAAAGACAACGAAAAAACUACAAAUUGUGCAAGAGAUGCUAAUUAGGGAAAUAAACUGACCCAUAUAUAAAUACGGCAUAUGAGGACAAUUCCUGGUGAUAAUGCUGAACACAACCGACAUCAGGUAUUUGGACAUAGCAAUUUUAGACGGAUCAUUUAGCAGAUUUGAAAAGAUUUCCCUUUUUAUAAAAGUUUUUUUCUUUACUAAAUAUAAAAACUAAACAAUUAAAUAAAUAAAUUUUAAUGACUUA